rnacentral:lncRNA from 1 species
UCGGAGACCAGAGCAGAGAAAUGCUCGGUGGUCAAGGUGGAAAAGCUCAGCAGAACGGAGCGGAGCAGCUUGGCAGUACUGCGGAAAAUACUCGCCAGGGCAGAGGAAUCAACUUGCCAAGGCAGCGAAAUCAUGAACUCUCUGUCGCCAGAGGAAUGGUGAACGUCAGAGGAAACAAACAUCAGAGGACUCGAUCGUCAGAGGAUUCGUCGUCAGAGGAAUCAGACAUCAGAGGAAUC